rnacentral:tRNA from 13 species
GCCCCGGUGGCGAAAUGGUAUACGCAUCGGACUUAAAAUCCGCCGCCUUCACCGGCUUGUGGGUUCGAUUCCCACCCGGGGCACCA